rnacentral:rRNA from 1 species
UACGUAGGGGGCAAGCGUUGUUCGGAUUUAUUGGGCGUAAAGAGCGUGUAGGCGGCCGUGUAGGUCUGACGUGAAAUCUGGAGGCUCAACCUCCAGCUGUCGUUGGAAACCGCUCGGCUAGAGUCCGGAAGAGGAGAGUGGAAUUCCUGGUGUAGCGGUGAAUGCGCAGAUAUCAGGAAGAACACCUAUGGCGAAGGCAGCUCUCUGGGACGGUACUGACGCUGAGACGCGAAAGCGUGGGGAGCGAACAGG